UACGGGGGAGCAAGCGUUGUUCGGAUUUACUGGGCGUAAAGGGCGCGUAGGCGGCCACCGCAAGUCGACUGUGAAAUCUCCGGGCUUAACCCGGAAAGGUCAGCCGAUACUGCGGGUCUAGAGUGCAGAAGGGGCAACUGGAAUUCUCGGUGUAGCGGUGAAAUGCGUAGAGAUCGGGAGGAACACCUAUUGCGAAGGCAGCUCGCUGGGACGUUACUGACGCUGAGACGCGAAAGCGUGGGGAGCAAACAGG
rnacentral:rRNA from 1 species